rnacentral:rRNA from 1 species
AUCAGCAGCCAUAUCACCCUGCAGCCCAAGACUGGUUGCCUACUGAAGCUAAGCAGGGUUGAGCCUGGUCAGUACCUGGAUGGGAGACCUCCUGGGAAAACUAGGUUGUUGCUGGAA